AUGGUUUUCACUUCACAGCUCUGCCUUGUCAGGGUUAGUUAGGGGAAGUUUUUCCUUAUUAAUAAAAAAGCAAAGGGGGGCUACUUUGAGGAAUCUAAAAUAUAAGACGUGUUUUCAGUUAUUUCACACUUUUUAGUUAAGUACAUAAUUCCACAUGUGUUCAUUCAUAGUUUUGAUGCCUUCAGUGAGAAUCUACAAUGUAAAUAGUCAUGAAAAUAAAAAGGAAACGCAUUGAAUGAGAAGGUGUGUCCAAACUUUUGGCCUGUACUGUAUAUAUAUAUAUAUAU